GACGAACGCUGGCGGCGUGCUUAACACAUGCAAGUCGAACGGUAAGGCCCUUCGGGGUACACGAGUGGCGAACGGGUGAGUAACACGUGGGUGAUCUGCCCUGCACUUCGGGAUAAGCCUGGGAAACUGGGUCUAAUACCGGAUAGGACCACUGCCUGCAUGGGUGGUGGUGGAAAGCUUUUGCGGUACGGGAUGGGCCCGCGGCCUAUCAGCUUGUUGGGGGGGUGAUGGCCUACCAAGGCGACGACGGUUAGCCGGCCUGAGAGGGUGACCGGCCACGCGGGGACUGGGAUACGGCCCAGGCUCCUACGGGAGGCAGCAGUGGGGAAUAUUGCACAAUGGGCGCAAGCCUGAGGAAGCGACGCCGCGUGAGGGAUGACGGCCUUCGGGUUGUAAACCUCUUUCAGCACCGACGAAGCGCAAGUGACGGUAGGUGCAGAAGAAGGACCGGCCAACUACGUGCCAGCAGCCGCCGUAA
rnacentral:rRNA from 1 species